rnacentral:rRNA from 1 species
UCGAAGAGUGGUGCAUGGCCGUUAACGACGAGUGGAGUGAUCUUUGGGUUAAGUCCGUAAAUUAGUGAGACCUCAGCCGUAAGGGACAGGUGCGCAAAGCACAGGAAGGAUGGGUCAAGGACAGGUCAGUGAUGCCCUUAGAUGGUCCGGGCUGCACGCGCACUAUAGUGGUCGCCGAAAUUACCUGAUAAUUUUAAAGGCGAUCGAGAGGAAAUGAGCUUUGUAAGAGGCUCAGGAACGAGGAAUUGCUAGUAAUCGCGGACUCAUUAAGACGCGAUGAAUACGUCCCUGUUCUUUGUACACACCGCCCGUCGUUAUCGAAGAUGAAGAUAGGCGCGAACGAUCUACCAGAAAGUGAGCGCAGGUCUUUAGAUCUGAUACAAGUCGUAACAAGGUAGCUGUAGGAGAACCUGUAGCUGG